rnacentral:rRNA from 1 species
GAUUAGAUACCCUAGUAUCUACAAACUAAGAUGAUUACUAUAGGUGAAGAAAUUUAAAAAUUUUGGCGGUUGACUAUUAAUUAGAGGAGCUUGUUUUAGAAUUUGCUCUUUAUAUUUUAUUAGUUUUUGUUUAUUUAUCUCCGUUAUUAGGUACUAACUUUAUAAGAAAAUUACUUAAAUUUCAGGUCAAGAUGUAGCUUGAAUUAAAUUUAAUUAGCUACAUUUAUGGAAUAUUGUGAAUUUAUAUUUGAUAGGAAUAAUUAAUGAAAUUGAAUUUAAUUGUAAUGUUAUUUAUAGGGAUAGUAUGAAAUUUUAUAGUUGAUGUUCAUAUUGCCCGUCACUUCUUUUGGUUAAAUAGAAUAAGUCGUAACAAA